UACGGAGGGUGCAAACGUUGCUCGGAAUUAUUGGGCGUAAAGCGUUCGUAGGCGGUCCUGCAAGUCGGGUGUGAAAUCCCUCGGCUCAACCGAGGAAGAGCAUUCGAAACUAGAGGACUGGAGUACUGAAGAGGGUCGCGGAAUUCCGGGUGUAGAGGUGAAAUUCGUAGAUAUCGGGAGGAACACCAGUGGCGAAGGCGGCGACCUGGGCAGAUACUGACGCUGAGGAACGAAAGCGUGGGGAGCAAACAGG
rnacentral:rRNA from 1 species